rnacentral:rRNA from 1 species
UACAGAGGUCUCAAGCGUUGUCCGGAAUCAUUGGGCGUAAAGGGCGCGUAGGUGGCCCGGUCAGUUCGUGGUGAAAGCGCGGGGCUCAACCCUGCGUCGGCCAUGAAUACUGCCGCGGCUGGAGCACUGUAGAGGCAGGCGGAAUUCCGGGUGUAGCGGUGGAAUGCGCAGAUAUCGGGAGGAACACCGGUGGCGAAGGCGGUUCUCUGGGCCUGACCUGACGCUGAGGAGCGAAAGCGUGGGGAGCGAACAGG